rnacentral:rRNA from 1 species
UGUUUGGACGAGGGGCCCCUCUCGGGUUACCGAAUUCAGACAAACUCCGAAUGCCAAUUAAUUUAACUUGGGAGUCAGAACAUGGGUGAUAAGGUCCGUGUUCGAAAGGGAAACAGCCCAGACCACCAGCUAAGGUCCCAAAAUAUAUGUUAAGUGGAAAAGGAUGUGGCGUUGCCCAGACAACUAGGAUGUUGGCUUAGAAGCAGCCAUCAUUUAAAGAGUGCGUAAUAGCUCACUAGUCGAGUGACACUGCGCCGAAAAUGUACCGGGGCUAAACAUAUUACCGAAGCUGUGGAUUGUCCUUUGGACAAUGGUAGGAGAGCGUUCUAAGGGCGUUGAAGCAUGAUCGUAAGGACAUGUGGAGCGCUUAGAAGUGAGAAUGCCGGUGUGAGUAGCGAAAGACGGGUGAGAAUCCCGUCCACCGAUUGACUAAGGUUUCCAGAGGAAGGCUCGUCCGCUCUGGGUUAGUCG